CUAAGAAUAUUCCGCAAUGGACGAAAGUCUGACGGAGCGACGCCGCGUGGAUGACGAAGGCCGAAAGGUUGUAAAAUCCUUUUGUUGGGGAAGAAUAAGCGUGGGAGGGAAUGCCCGCGUGAUGACAUGAACCGACGAAUAAGCCCCGGCUAACUACGUGCCAGCAGCCGCGGUAACACGUAGGGGGCAAGCGUUGUUCGGAAUUACUGGGCGUAAAGGGCAUGUAGGCGGCCUUGUAAGCCUGGCGUGAAAGUCACUGGCUCAACCAGUGGAUUGCGUCGGGAACUGCAGGGCUUGAGUCACGGAGGGGAGAGUAGAAUUCCUGGUGUAGGGGUGAAAUCUGUAGAGAUCAGGAAGAAUACCAGUGGCGAAGGCGACUCUCUGGCCGAUGACUGACGCUGAGGUGCGAAAGUGUGGGGAUCAAACAGG
rnacentral:rRNA from 1 species